rnacentral:misc_RNA from 1 species
UCCGAGUUGACCCCGGCAGUCCCCCAUGAGUCCCCAACCACCCGAAGGUGUUGCUGGCAACAUGGAGCAAGGGUUGCGCUCGUUGCGGGACUUAACCCAACAUCUCACGACACGAGCUGACGACAGCCAUGCACCACCUGUGAAGGUGCCCCGAAGGGAAGCCGUGUUUCCACGGCGGUCACCCACAUGUCAAGCCCAGGUAAGGUUCUUCGCGUUGCGUCGAAUUAAGCCACAUGCUCCGCCGCUUGUGCGGGUCCCCGUCAAUUCCUUUGAGUUUUAGCCUUGCGGCCGUACUCCCCAGGCGGGGCACUUAAUGCGUUAGCGUCGGCACGGGAGGAGUCGACACCUCCCACACCUAGUGCCCAUCGUUUACAGCGUGGACUAC